rnacentral:piRNA from 1 species
UAAACCUUGAUCCUUUGUUAC